rnacentral:rRNA from 1 species
GACGAACGCUGGCGGCGCGCUUAACACAUGCAAGUCGAACGGAAAGGCCCUGCUUUUGUGGGGUGCUCGAGUGGCGAACGGGUGAGUAACACGUGAGUAACCUGCCCUUGACUUUGGGAUAACUUCAGGAAACUGGGGCUAAUACCGGAUAGGAGCUCCUGCUGCAUGGGGGGGGUUGGAAAGUUUCGGCGGUUGGGGAUGGACUCGCGGCUUAUCAGCUUGUUGGUGGGGUAGUGGCUUACCCAGGCUUUGACGGGUAGCCGGCCUGAGAGGGUGACCGGCCACAUUGGGACUGAGAUACGGCCCAGAGUCCUACGGGAGGCAGCAGUGGGGAAUAUUGCACAAUGGGCGGAAGCCUGAUGCAGCAACGCCGCGUGCGGGAUGACGGCCUUCGGGUUGUAAACCGCUUUCGCCUGUGACGAAGCAUGAGUGACGGUAAUGGGUAAAGAAGCACCGGCUAACUACGUG